UAAAGAUGUGCCUGUAAGUACAGCGGUAGUCAAGUAGACUUCAGUCCUGUUGAGCCCCACGAGCGAGCCUGGCGCAUUGGAUAACAUAUUUGGAUUAACCUAUCCCUGCGCCUGACGUCAGCGCGUAAACAAUCACGCUCAUUUCCAGGGCUGGUUUCGUUGCACGCAGCGUUGACUCUCUGUGUGUAUGCACAGUCUGUAGUUCUUUUUUUUUACUGGCUUAAUUCAGUAGUUUUCACUCUGUCUGUGAUUGACAUCUGGCACAUGAAUGUCCACCGUGCGCUCCGUUACGCACAGAGAGAAAGGGAGACGUCGCAGCACGUAAAGAAACGUGACCCGCAGGAGCUCCGGGGAAGCAUCUGCUCCUCCUGGCGCUGCUGAGGCUGCGGCAACAGCUUCACACACUCGGCUGCUACGUGCUGCGCUCAUUCGUCCCCAUCCCUCACAGAUCGGUUCUGUUUUACGCAUUUUUUCCUGCAGCCUGAUUAGAAACGUGAGGACACUACAACAUUUAAAUCGCUGCUGCUGGUUAAUGGCUCGCUGUGGCUGUGUCGUCCUGCAAGCUGUUGACUCAGGUGCUUCAGUCAGGCAUGGUGCAGGUUUGGAGAUCACUGUUGAGUCGAGGUCUCACUCCUGCCCCAAUGCUGACUCUGUGCCCGGUGCCAUCAGGACCUGAGUGUGCUCAGUGUGCAGCUGACUGUGAGGAGACAGGGGGAGGAUGGAUAUGAUGGAGUGUGCAGGGGAUGGAGAGUGUUGGUAUCUUCUGUGGCACAUUGGUGAUAACACCCUCUGCCAGUGGUGUGCUGUAACAUCACGUGGCGUCGCGCUAAAGCUUUUUGAUGCAUCCUUCCCUCCACCCGACAAAUUCCCCCCAAAAUUGGGGAUCUGUUGCCUCCUAAAGGUCCUCAGCGGUGCCUUCCUUCCUUCCUUCCUCCACCACCACCUCCACCGCUUCCUCCCUGCACCGAAGCGCAGCCACAGAAGCUGCAGCCACGUCGCUCACCACGUCUAUCAAAUGCUGCCAGAACCAAUGUCGGGUGCAACUAAAGAGGGAGACGCGUCAUUCAAACAGAACAAUGGACACCAGUUCACAAUGGUCAACGCAUAAGCGGUGCGAAAUGUGUUUGGGUUUCUGUGCACGUCAUCCCUAUAGCAGCCGGUGUGUGUGUGUGUGUGUGUGUGUGUGUGUGUGUGUGCAUGUGUGUGUGUGUGAGGGAGAGAGAGGUGGAGAGAGAGAGGAGAGGAGGGGACCAGCGACGCAGCAGCUCCGCGCACACACUGUCAUCCGCGGCUGCUGAGGAGAUGUUGGGAUGCGGGAGCGGGAUGCUGCUGGCAGCGGUGUCACCUCGGCCUCGGCUUGUUUUCGGCCACUGGUGAUGCAAAAGUCAUGUCAGUGCGUAAAACUAAAUCCUGUAGUCUGGAUCAGCUCGUGGUGAUGAUGAUUCUCAGGCAGUGAAGGCGUGCGGCGUUUGGGUUUCUCCCUGGACUCCUGGCUGUGAUAGUUUGGCUCCACUUUGAGAGAAACUUGUAUUUAAAAUGCUGAAUGGACUCGAACCGGAGUUGCGGGAUUUAUUCAAAGUUUAUGGCGUGAAUCUGUGGAGUGCAGACAGAAGCGCAGUCACACAGAAACACACACACUCCCCAUCUGCAGGCCUGCGUCUGAACUUUCAGGACAGCAAGUCAGAGGAGACACGCAUCACCUCCCGCUUUGAAGGUCAGAGGUCACAGAGUGGGUCACUCUGGGGCUCCAUCACUUCAGACUUACAGCAGGAAGAGGAGGAGGAGGAGGAGGCAGUGGAGGAGGAAAAAGAGAAGCAGAGUGGGUGGAAGGAUGGAAGGAGAGAAGGAUAGAAGCCGUUCGAGGAGGUGGUUCGAAGCGGGUGAACCCAGAGCAGGUGAACACAGCUGUGGAUCGCCAUGGGCUCUCUGGCUGCCUUCCUCCUGUGGCCCCGGCGCUGCAUAUAGGGGUCCUGGGGAGCCGGCAGGGGCCAGCCAAAGCUGCGGCAGAGUGGGCAGGCUAGGCCAGCCAAGCCAGGAGAGAGGCAGGUGAGGCGGGUGAGCCGAGCUCUCAUCCCCGCCGGCUAGGAGCCUCCGCGGCAGAGCGGAGUAGCGCGGAGCAGCAGAAAUCAAUACAGAGGAGAGAGGCUAGCAGAGGUUGCCCAGCACCGCCUGCAGGCCUCGGAGCCCAGGGACCAACCACCACCACUGCUCCCAGCUCCUCUCUCCAUCUCUCUUUCUAUCUUUCUCCAACAGUCCCAGCAUCAGCCAGGGCCAGGGCCCUAACCCUGCAACCGCCCCACACGCAGUGUGUGUGUCAGUAGGUGCACAUGUGUGUGUAAAAUAGAGAGAAAAAGGGAGAGGGAAGAGACAGAGAGAGAGAGUCUUUGUGUGUGGUUCUGCCGGAGGGGUUUUUGCUGCGUCCAACACCACUUGAUAAAACUUUGUCAGAGAGACACGGAGACAGCGAGGGAGGGAGAAACGGAAGAAGAAUAAGACAGGACGUCGAAGGUCGCUUUUCUUCCAGCUCCCUUCCUCUUAUUACUCAUUCCACCUUAACUGUUUGAUAUGGAUCCAUCAGAGAUGGUACACAGGACGUUUCUGCUCAGUCCCACUUCCAAGCACGUAGCACACAAUAUUCUUAAGAUCUCAUGAGCCAGGAUGAAAGGACAAUUUGAACUUUUUCUCUCAUCCACCGUAUCAGACACAACCUGUCUUUUCGCCUUAGAUUUUCUUACCCUCACUACAGCAGCUCCCAUCAGAGGAUAUGGCAGUACAGUAUUGAUCUAUAAGGUGGAGAGGAAGGCGUGCCUGGGCUUUCAUACCUCUCUCUCUAUGUGUGUGGAAAUAGCACCUGAAGUCCACUUACUGCUGUGCAGCAGGGAUCCCAUGGCAGCCCAAGUGAAUGGCUGCUAAUUGAAUGAGAGAUGAAAAGGACAGUAGUUGUAGCUGCUCAGUGCCCCCCACCACCCCCCACUUCUGUCUGUUACUAGUUGGUUUUUCAUCUGACUUUUUUUCUCCUCCACGUUUACAAAAGUCCUUCUCCACACAAAGAGACUCGCUCUUCAGAUGUUUUAGCAAAAUUGGUUGUGACUAAAGUAAAUUGGCAAAAUCCUCAAGAAUGAAAAUAUCUGGCUGCAGUGUAGAGGUGAAUACCUUCCGUAGAAAACACAGGAGAAAAGAUUUUUUUUCCCCCAUGCACCAGUAGAAACAUUCGGCUGAAAACUUUCUGAGAGGUCAUGCCACAAAACAUACUGUUCUGUACAUAUUUGUGGACGUCGAAGGACAUUACAGGAGAGAUGUACAGUUUGCCAAGCACGGAAACUUGCAGAGAUUACAACGUGACUCAUACCUCUUGAUGCAGCCAGUCAGGAACGCCACCAUGGAAAUGAAAAGCAGUGACUGACCAUUGGAUCUUACUCCAACAACGCACACGCUGUCUGUAGCCAUUUUCUCAGAGUAUGUUUAGCCUGAGCCACAUACGGAAAAUGCCACCUCUCCACCUGCAGGAACAGUCAGUUAGACACACAUCAUUAGAGACUGAUUAUCAGUUGUCUAGUCUGCAGUCUUUGUGGAUACGGACAGGUAAGUCGGAGCCGCUUCUUAAAGGUAAGUUUAAAAGGUUGAAUCAAUUUAAGAGCUGUCUGAAGUGUAAAAUGGAGCUGCCGAGCAAUAUUUUUCAAAAUUCGUUUCAUUAGAUAUGAAUUACUAUAUUUGAGACCAAUUUUAGGUCAGAGAUUGGAUGAGACCCCAAGGGGUCCUUCUUUUCACUCAGUAAUUUACAUUCUGGUAUUUGACUGGAAAAUCGCUUGACAAGAGUUUGUUGCUGUUGAAUUACUUUCCUCUUUUCUUUGGGACAUUAUGUACACAUACAUAUUUAUACAGUCUUUUUCAUGGUGUAAUGAACAAAUUUAUCGUAAAAUGAUUGCAGAGUCCCAAAAGUGUUGCCCUGAUAUGAUAUAUAUUUUUAAUAAAGUUGAACGAUUUGUGAAAUGAA